rnacentral:piRNA from 1 species
UAGAAUCAAGGAGAGGUUAGG